rnacentral:lncRNA from 1 species
AGGAUCUAAUGAAGGGGGGGUUUGUGGAGGCUUUUGAAAUUUUUAAAUGCUUAAAAAUGGAACAGCAUAUUCUGAAUGUUAAUAGUAUUCUACAAGCUGAGCCAGCUCUAAUAAAAAUAAGAAUGAAUCAGAAGAUGAAUUAGUAUGAUGAAAAGCUUAUUUUUUUAAAGCAAUGUUGACUGUGUGAAGUAUUCCCAAUGUAUACACUAAGGGUUCUUAACCAUGGAUAUCCAUACUCCUUGGGGUAUGGGACUUGAUCUCUGGGUAUGGUAUUUAUUUUAUUUAAUAUAUUAAUUUAUACUUAGGCAGUAUGUGAAUGGAAUGCAAUAGAAUCUUCUUAAAGAGGUAUGGGACAAUAUUGGACAAUCCAUUGGGAGUCUGGAGUCAUCAAAAGGUUAAAAACCCUGGGUCUAUACAUAGAAUAUAUCUUCUAGUAAAAUCUAGGACCUUUUUGAAUAGAAUGAAAAGAACUGUACUGUUUAUCUGUAGUCAUUACAGAUGUGAGAAGGAAUUUAUUCAGACAUAAAAUAAUGUAUCAACACUUAAUCAUGAAUGCCAUAAGGACCAAUCAGAAGACAGAAUAUAGCAUAGUAGAAGAAUUAGAACACUAUAGAGAAAAUAUUAGGAAGAAUUUUGUUAAAAAAUUAAAAUGGAUAUUUCAUCAUCAGCUCAAGAAAAAGAUUAAAAGGCAAGAUAAAACUAUAAAGAUUUUAGAUGAUAUCCAACUUCUGCAAUACCUUAAUGAAGUGUUAUUUUAUAAUCUUAACAAACUAAGUUUUGAAACCAUUAACAUGGGAAAACAUUGCUAUGGAAGUAGAAGUGCC